rnacentral:rRNA from 1 species
UACGGGGGGGGCAAGCGUUGUUCGGAAUUACUGGGCGUAAAGGGCGCGUAGGCGGUUUGCUAAGUUGGAUGUGAAAACUCCGGGCUUAACCUGGAGCCUGCAUCCAAAACUGGCAGGCUUGAGUUUGGGAGGGGGAAGCGGAAUUCCCGGUGUAGCAGUGAAAUGCGUAGAUAUCGGGAGGAACACCGGCGGCGAAGGCGGCUUCCUGGACCAAAACUGACGCUGAGGCGCGAAAGCUAGGGGAGCAAACAGG